GAAUGAGGAACAUCACACACGGACAAUUUACGGCACUAGAAACAACUUUUGGGAAAACUGCCAAACAGUCAUGCCUGUUACAUCUUUGCGGGAAAUAAGACUGUCACAUGCUUUGAAGCUGAUUGGAAUAGAACUCGUGCAACAUGUACCAUCAAAGGCUCAGCAGCCAGUUCUUUGGUCGCAGCAUAUGUUAUGUUCCCACAUAUAGUUGCUCUUACAGUUCUGGUGUCAUAAGUCUUUUCGAGGUAUUAAAGACCUUACGGUAAAAAAAAGUACUGAAACAGUUAUAUAGUGACGUUAUUUUGAAUGUCUGUGUGUGCGUGCCACUUUACUACAUCUAAUUAAUGAAACAACCUGCAUAAGAGCAAAGGCAGACGAACCGACACUGUAAGAUGAGGAAUAUGCUGUUACUUCAGAAGAUGAUAAGACAGAACAGACAGACUCCGUUUAAACAACAUAUUGUCGCAUAUAUCUAGACAAAAGACGAAACACGCUGCGAUACGACAUUGAUUCCCUUCUCUUAAAAUACAUCCUUGUACAACAAUGCGCAAUUAGAUGAUAGUUAUAACCACCUCAGUAUCAAAGAUCUGAUUAACGCCAUACAACAUAAACCGGCAAUUAUAUUUCAAUAAAGAGAUUUAGAGAACUCGGAAUUCGAAUUUGCUAAAGCAGGAGAUACAAGUGUUGAUGCUGUAAAAACUGAAAUAAAAGAAGUGAACCUGAAAACAAGAACAGUUUCAAAAAUGUAUUAGUCAUAUUACAAGUUAUUAAAUUAAAAGAAGUUGAAAUAUAAAAAAAAAAACAUGACAGUAAACUGAAACCUGAUAUAAACAGCCAGUUUAUUAUAUAUCACACUACUCACGUAACAGAAGGGGAAAAGCAAUGUUUCAUUAUUAAAGUAGGAGAGAAAAAAGUGAUGAAGCUAAAGGGAGAUAUAAAAACAUAAAUGCUAAAAUUGUAGAUGUCUAAUGUAUUUAAUCAUUUAUUUUCUGAUUCUGAUCGGAUUACUAAAAAUAUAAUAUGGAGUUUUGAGAAAAGGGUGCAAUUUGAAAAUACAUAAGAUACAAUAUUUUGGUAAAGGCGAUAGAUGCUCGAAGCUAUAUAAAAUAUUCUGCUGGUGAAAAAUGCCAAUGACCUUUCAGAUCAGUUCUAUAAAAUAGUGUAAUGAAUUAGCUGGUUUAUACAAAUACUUUAUGGAAUAGUAUUAAACGGAAUAACUUCAUGAAAGUGGAAAAACAGGCUCUGCUUAUAAACAAUGGGUUAAAAGAAUUCUUCGCAGACAACUAACUUGCUCUAAAUUGUUACUAUUCGAAACGAUUGACGAUUCAGUACACAAUAUAUUGAUUUUCAACAUGAUGAUCAAUAAAGAAGAAAGAAAGACUAUCGACACAAGAAAUGAACCAUACGUCAGUACGAUCUUCAGUGCUAAGUGGUUAUAAAAUAUUAAAAGCAUAUAAUAUUUCAACGGCUAAGUUUAAAUGAGGCAUCAUCUAGAAGAUUUUCAGUAUUUACUAAACUUGUAAAAUGUGUAUUUAUACUUAUAUAUUUUUUAUAUUACCCCGGACACUGUUGGUGAACGUGCAAGGUAAAAUUUAUCUAUAUUUAUUUCACUUUACGUAAUAUUUUGUAUAAAUAUACACCUAACGAAGGGCAAAAGACUGUUAAUGUAACAGUGCUUUAUUAAUCGCUGUGUGCAUUUAACAAUUUAUCUUACAUAGGAUUUUACUUUCCAUUGAUAGUUUCAAUGACUGGAAUGGUAAAACAAUAGGCAAACUAAAUGGUAUUGUUUCCUAUUUUCUUUCAUGUUUGUAUUGUUCUGGUUGUUUUAUUUUUAUUUAUUUUUUUUUCAAAUAAUUUUACGUGAGAAUGUCAUGAAAGCUAAUUUAUAAUGUUCUUGUUGUCCCACUUUCAGCAUCGCCGUUAUGUUGAAAUAUUAAUUACUAAAUGCAUAAACGAUAUGUAUAUUCAUGGGAAGUAUUUUUACAUGUUAAUGCCUGUUGUAUGUUAUUGGU